UACGUAGGGUGCAAGCGUUGUCCGGAAUUAUUGGGCGUAAAGAGCUCGUAGGCGGUUUGUCGCGUCUGCUGUGAAAACGCGAGGCUCAACCUCGCGCCUGCAGUGGGUACGGGCAGACUAGAGUGCGGUAGGGGAGAUUGGAAUUCCUGGUGUAGCGGUGGAAUGCGCAGAUAUCAGGAGGAACACCGAUGGCGAAGGCAGAUCUCUGGGCCGUAACUGGCGCUGAGGAGCGAAAGCAUGGGGGAGCGAACAGG
rnacentral:rRNA from 1 species